GGCCAGUCCCUUCCCCUCUCUGGGACUCAGCUUCUCCAUCUGUGAACAGAGGGACCGGAUUAACUGUUCUCUGAGGUCCAUCAGGAUCCAUGGUGCAUCUCAGCAGAUCCCUCCCUCCCUGUGGUUGAGAGUGAGUUUGAGAGCCACUUGCUGGGUCCUGGGGCAAGUGACAGUUCUCUUGUGUCCUCUGUGAGAUGGGGAUGAGGACAGUGUGGACUUCAGAGAGCUUCUCUGAGGAUUAAUGAGCUAGUUCAGGUGAUGCACUCAGCACUUGCCUGGCACACAGGAAGUGCCCAGUAAAUGCUUGCUCUUGUCGUCAGCGCAGCAGAAACCAAGUUGACCUGCUGGCUUAGAGAGUUCUCGGUCAGCAGACUCAGAUUCACGAGCAGCAUCUGCCUUGGAGCCUCCCCUUAGCCUGACGCACUCAAAUGCCGAAUUUGAUCCAAGAGAUGCUGUUCCAGAGAGGAAGCCGGGGCUGCAGUGCCAUGAUGCUAAGACAUCUGGAAAAUGCUCUCGAAAACACAAGCCACUCUGAUCAGUAAACUGGGGCUCAGCGAGUUAUUGCGUCAACAGGAAGCUGGUCGUAUCAGAAUAUGUAUCGCUGAAAAAAGCUGAAGAUGAGAGGCAGGGCCACUAAAAGACCCUCAGGAAGGUCCUGGAGCUGAACUGACACAGACCCUCUCAGGGAGACAGAUAGGGACCCUGCUAGCCACCCACUUCUGGAGGCUUCCGAGAUUGCUGCUGCAAUAACUUUAUCAUCAAGACCAUGUGCAUUUCAAGUCACAAAGCCAGAAGUAGGCAUGUGACACAGUUCUUGCCAAGGAGACACCAGCUGGAAUCCCCGGUAAUGCUCCCAGGAAAGAUUUUUAAAGGGACUAGACUGAAUAGGCAUAUGCCUGUCUACUCUUCUCCCCUUCCUCCUUUCUUUCUCGUUUAGAAUGUGAGUGUGAUGUCUGGAGCUUCAGCAGCCAUAUUUUGACCACGAGCCAAAUUUGAGGAUGACAGCCAUGCACUCAGAAUGAUGGACUAGAAAAAUAAAAAGAGCCUGGACCUCUUCUCCAAGACAAUGCUGUGGAGCUGCCAUACCAGCUCUGGAGUGCCUGCUUUUGGACUUCUUGUUAUCAAAUAAAUGAAUAAAUAAAUAACCUCCUAAUCUGCUUAAGCCCUUAUUUGUCAAGUUCCUAUUACUAGCAGCCAUACGCAAUUCCUAACUGCUACAAGCAUUAGGCUCCUUCUGAUGAGGAGCAACUCCAAUUAGAGCUGGUUGGGAGCCUGAAGUGGUUUUCAAACUGUGUACCACAGAAGCUAGGGGAUUC
rnacentral:lncRNA from 1 species